rnacentral:rRNA from 1 species
CCUACGGGGGGCUGUAGUGGGGAAUAUUGGACAAUGGGGGCAACCCUGAUCCAGCCAUGCCGCGUGUGUGAAGAAGGCCCUCGGGUUGUAAAGCACUUUCAGUGAGGAAGAACGCCUGGUGGUUAAUACCCAUCAGGAAAGACAUCACUCACAGAAGAAGCACCGGCUAACUCCGUGCCAGCAGCCGCGGUAAUACGGAGGGUGCGAGCGUUAAUCGGAAUUACUGGGCGUAAAGCGCGCGUAGGUGGCUUGAUAAGCCGGUUGUGAAAGCCCCGGGCUCAACCUGGGAACGGCAUCCGGAACUGUCAAGCUAGAGUGCAGGAGAGGAAGGUAGAAUUCCCGGUGUAGCGGUGAAAUGCGUAGAGAUCGGGAGGAAUACCAGUGGCGAAGGCGGCCUUCUGGACUGACACUGACACUGAGGUGCGAAAGCGUGGGUAGCAAACAGGAUUAGAUACCCUAGUAGUC